ACACCAGGCCCAUUCCCACAUAGCCCCCGACUCAGGAGGCACCAUUCUCCUUAGGGUCGGUGGGACUUCCCGGCUGAGCUGGGGAAGCUGACAGUCCGGAUUCAUCAGGGGCAGCACGUAGUGUGCUCCAACAGGGCCCCUGAGCAGGAUUGGAGGCGGUCGGAGAAGGACCAGUGGGAGCGGCUGGCAAAGAGCAGGUGGCAGCGGGCUGAGCUGGGCGGCCGUCUGUGGGCAGCGCUGGAGGCCCUGUCAGAGCAAGCCCCGGUGCUGCAGAGGAGGGAGAGCAAGCUGGGACUCGGCUGGGCCCUGAAGCGGAAACAGGCGGUGUGCUCCCUGGCCCGCCUGGAGGAGGAGAGAACCCAGGGACAGGCGGAGUGCAGGAGGCCAGACCAGGACAUAGAAGACAAUCCACGAGAGGUGCAGGAGGCACCAGUGCCCCUCAGGAAAGAGCUAGAGGCACAAGACUCACAUCCCAGGCUUCGUGAGGAGAUGGCGCAGUACUGGAAGGCACUCUGGCACCAGGUGGCAGUUGCCCUGGAAUUUCAAGAGGAGGAACUGCAGAGACUCCAGAGGCAGAGUGGGACCUGGCCUCCCCAGACCGGGAGCGGGAGAGGAUAUAUCCUCAGGGCCUGGAUGGGCUAUAUUCUCUGGUCAAGUCUGAGGACCUGCAGUGGACAACGUCAGUGAGAAGCAGGGCGAGGCUCUCGGAGGUGGGGCAGCAGCUGGAUAGGGUCUGGACGAAGCCACAUUGCAUCAACGUC